rnacentral:lncRNA from 1 species
CCGGUCGGUUCCCGCGCGCUCCCAGCUCCGUGCCCGCGAGCGACGACUGGAAGGGCUGUCCUUGCUCAGCGGCUUUUGGUGAUCUCUCCGCCCUAGAAGAGGGCCACCUAAAAGCGGGUGCGAGAGGAGAGUGGGAGGGCCUCCUCUUGGUGUCCCCAGGCCACCUCAGCCCGGAGAGGUGGCGGAAAACCAGACUUGAUGCUUUAACACGUUCAUAGCAAUCGCUUUUUACUGAAAGGAGUUUCUGUAUUUAGCGCUGUGUAAUUCUGUGGAAACGUGCAUUUCUUGUCUUUGCGGGAGAGCUGUUCUCUGUGGGCGGAGACCUUCAGUCCCACCCCUCCCCAGGAGGCGCCUGCGGACCCUUCCCAACCUGCAGUCAAGUUGACCAAGAACUGACUGCAAGGUGCUGGUGGCUCUGGGAUGAGAGCCUUUUGGUACUUACAGGGAAUAUGACUCUUCCCUUAGAUAUCAAAUGGACCCAAUAUCUAGGGAGCAGCUUCUUCUCCAUCCAUCUGACCGUUCCGUUGUGAGAAUGCUGGCCCAAUAACAUACUCUUUUUUUUUCCCCUAAAGGAAUAAAAAAAUCUGUAUUUUUAAGAUGUCAAAUCUCCAGAGUUUUUAGAUGUUAGCAACUGAAUCAGAUGUUUUUAAACUUCAUGAGCUGAUUAAACCACACAGAUGAGCUGUCAGUUUACGACCCCUGGCUUGGCUUGGAGGAAAGAGUGAAGAGAAAUUCCAUGGCCAAAUCCUGGGGCACUCCAAUAUUGGGAGGGUAAUGGAGAAGGAGUCUGAAAGGCAGCAUCUAGGAAGUCAUGAAAGCUAGCGCUGAGUUGUGGAAUCCCUGGGCAGAGAAGGUUUCAGGUAGGAGGCAUCAGCUGAGCGGUGUGAUAAACUUGGGCCAGAGAUGUGGCUAUUGGAUUGGGUCACCUUGCAAGUCACUGGAGAAUGUCACUGAUGGCCUUGGCUUGAUUCACGUGAGUAUAUCAGGGAGGUGGACCUGACCGGAAUGGGUUAAACAGUCACCAGGAAAGUGAGGAAAUGGAGACAGCACAUGUAUGCAAUUUGAGAGAGGUUUUGCUGUGAAGGGACCAGAUAAGUUUGGGGAUAGAUAUAGAAAGAAAUCUUUUAAAAGAUAGUAGGGGCCGGGCGCAGUGGCUCACGCCUGUUAUCCUAGCACUUUGGGAGGCCAAGGCAGGUGGAUCACCUGAGGUCAGGAGUUCGAGACCAGCCUGGCCAAUAUGGUGAAACCCGGUCUCUACUAAAAAUACAAAAAUUAGUUGGGCAUGGUAUCGCGCGCCUGUAAUCCAAGCUACUGGGGAGGCUGAGGCAGGAGAAUUGCUUGAACCCGGGAGGCAGAGGUUGCAGAGAGCCAAGAUUGGGCCACAGCACUCCAGCCUGGGCAACAAAGCGGGACUCCAUCUCAAAAAAUAAUAAUAAAUAAAAUAAAAGAUGGUAGGGUUCCCAGAGCAUGUUUAUGUGCCAUUGGGAGGGAUAUGGUGGGGAAGAAAGAUGGGUGAUCCAGGAGAGAGGAGGCUUGCUUGACCUAUAUAGGAGUGAAAUCCAUCAGAAGAUAUAAGGAAACAGGGAGGGUUGACCUUGGAGAGGAACAGGGAUGCUUCCAUUCAUGAUAAGGGCAACAAAGGUGAAGACAGAUGCAAGUGCAGGGGAGAGGGAAGGCAAGUCCUUAACAGGAUUGCCUUGGUGGCAUUGGGUACUCAUCUGAGGUUUGUGAUCAUGAUGUUAAAGGUAAACCAGUUGGCCCAGUGUGUUGGUUUUUCUCCAACAUUCAGCUGCUUGGGUACAGACAUGAAGAAAAGGGAUAGUACAGCUUCUCAACACCAGGACCCAAUUUUUCUCAUUUCUUUUUUUUUUUUUUGAGACGGAGUUUUGCUCUUAUCGCCCAGGCUGGAGUGCAAUGGUGUGAUCUCAGCUCACCACAACCUCUGCCUCCUGGGUUCAAGCGAUUCUCCUGCCUCAACCUCCUGAGUAGCUGGGAUUACAGGCAUGCGCUACCACCCCCGACUAAUUUUGUAUUUUUAGUAGAGAUGGGGUUUCUCCAUGUUGGUCAGGCUGGUCUUGAACUCCCAACCUCAGGUGAUCCGCCCGCCUCGGCCUCCCAAAGUGCUGGGAUUACAGGAGCGACUCACCGCGCCCGGCAAGUUUUCUCAUGUCUAAUCCCAGUUACUUACCUUAUACAAUUAGAUACUAUUUUAGAAAUGUGUGAAGUAUUUGAAAAAUUUACACGUGACCCUUCUUUUUCUAGAAACCAAGUUAUCCCAUUUGCCUCUUAUGUACACAUUAGGACUCAGACAUAAAGAAAAGACAAACUCAGAGGAAAAUUACCAAACAGAUGCUUCUGGAAUAUUUGCAUUUUGCAUUCUCCUCAGCCCAAAUAGUUCCUGGUAUACUUAAGAACUUAUGUACUAGAAACAACAAAGCUGACAUGCACAUAGGGAGACCUUGUUUAUACAAAAAAUUUAAAAAUUAGCUGAGUGUGGUGGCGUAUGACUGUAGUCCCAGCUACUUGGGAGGCUGAGGUGGGAAGAUCGCUUGAGCCCAGGAGGUCGAGACUACAGGGAGCCAUGUGUGUGCCACUGUACUCCAGCCUGGGUGAUGAAGCAAGACCCUGUCUCAAAAAAAUAAAAAAUAGGCCAGGCACAGUGGCUCAUGCCUGUAAUCCCAGCACUUUGGGAGGCCAAGGUAGGUGGAUUACUUGAGCCCAGGAGUUUGAGACUAGCCUGGGUAACAUGGCAAAAGCCCAUCUCUACAAAAAAUUAGCUGAACAUGGUGGUGUGUACCUGUAGUCCCAGAUACUUGGGAGGCUGAGGCAGGAGCAUCACUUGAGCCCAGGAGGUUGAAGCUGCAGUGAACCCCGAUUGCACCACUACAUUCCAGCCUGAGUGACAGAGCAAGACAUUGUCUCAAAAAUAAAAAAAAAAUUAAAAGCUGACUUGCAUUUAAACUUUAGAUUUUCUUUCUAGUAACAUUAAUAAGCUAAUUAGUUCACUUUCUCAAGAUUUUACUUCAAAUCACCUUCCUUUUUUUUUGUUUUUUGUUUUCUUUUUGUGGAGAUGAGGUCUCACUGUGUUGCCCAGGCUGGUCUCAGGCUCCAGCAAUUCUCCUGUCUUGGCCUUCCAAAGUGCUGGGAUGUAAGCCACCACACCUGUCCCCAUCUUCUUUAAGAGUAGACUACAGGAACACCUUCUAAAGCUUUUAUGUAGGCAAAUAUGAAGCAGUGGAUUUAUUUUUUUAUUUUAUUUUAUUUUUAGAUGUAAUCUCACUCUGUCGCCCAGGCUGGAAUGCAGUGGCUCGAUCUCAGCUCGCUGCAACUUCUGCUUCCUGGGUUCAAGCAAUUCUCCUGCCUCAGCCUCCCGAGUAGCUGGGACUACAGGUGUGCACUACCACUCCUGGCUAAUUUUUUGUAUUUUUAGUGGAGACGGGGUUUUGCCAUGUUGGCCAGGCUGGUCUUGAACUCCUGAUCUCAGGAGAUCCGCCCACCUCAGCCUCCCAAAGUCUUGGGAUUACAGAUGUAAGCCACCACACCCAGCCUGAGGCAGUGGAUUUAGAGGGAAAAAAGCCUCAAUUAUAUUUAUGAUUAUAUUUACAACUAUAUAUUAAUUAUAUUUAUAACUCUAUGAUCUCUGAGGCAUCAAAAGCCAGGAAUGGGGUCCAAGUGGCCUUGAAGCCUGCUUUCUGAAGACAAGGACCCUAUGUACUGCUCUCACAUAGGGCUGAGAAAAUGCGAAGGAUCACUAAGGAAGGAAGAAAAGAAAAUAUUUUCUGGCUGGGCGUAGUGGCUCACACCUGUAAUCCCAGCACUGUGGGAGGCCGAGGCAGGCGGAUUACCUGAGGUCAGGAGUUUGAGAUCAGCCUGGCCAACAUGGUGAAACCUCAUCUCUACUGAAAAUAUAAAAAUUAGCCAGGCGUGGUGGCACACCUGUAAUCCCAGCUACUCGGGAGGCUGAGGCAGGAGAAUUGCUUGAACCUGGGAGGUGGAGGUUGCAGUGAGCCGAGAUUGCGCCACUGCACACCAGCCUGGGCGACAGAGCGAGACUUCAUCUCAAAAAUAAAUAAACAAACAAAAUAUUUUCUUGUCUUUAUGGUAAAUCUUGAUGUGUCCUACUUUAUGGAGUCAGCUCCAAAGAUGAAGGAACAGAAGGCCAAACAAAAGGAAUAGAAUGUUUGAGGCUGGAAAGAAACAAGCUGAGGGAAAAUAUGAUGACAGGCUGUGAAACAGUUGAGGUGAUAAAAAUAAGGCUAGGCUGGGCACGGUGGCUCAUGCCUGUAAUCCCAGCACUUUCAGAGGCCGAGGUGGGCGGAUCACUAGGUCAAGAGAUUGAGACCAUCCUGGCCAACAUGGUGAAAUCCCGUCUCUACUGAAAAUACAGAAAUUAGCUGGGUGUGGUGGCGUGUGCCUGUAAUCCCAGCUACUCAGGAGGCUGAGGCAGGAGAAUCGCUUGAACCUGGGAGGCGGAGGUUGCAGUGAGCAGAGAUCGCACCACUCCACUCCAGCCUGGCGACAGAGUGAGACUCUGUCUCAAAAAAAAAAAAAAAAAAGAUCUGGCCUUGAGCCUCACGUACAGGACCAGAAACCCAAUGUGGUUUGUACCCUAAGAGCAGAUUCCUUCCUCGGGGAUUUGUCAGGCUCACAGGCGCUUGCUAGAUAAGCAGAGUGCUGUUAACAACGGGCAAGUGGACCAGUGUCCUCGUGCUGGCAAAAGGCAUAUUGAUCCCCUAUAGGAGAGCAUUCGGGGAAGCCAAAUUACUAGAAAUAUUUGAUGAGCAGUUAAUUAGAUUAACUAGUGUUAGUUAUGUAACUUAAAUGUUUAAUGUCACCCUCUCUGGAUGCUAGAAUUAGAUUGUUCGGGAUUCAAGUCUAGUCUUGGUUUUUUAUUAGCCGUGUGGUCUCUGUUGAAUUCGUAACAACUCAACUAUAGAUUUCUCUUCUAUAAAAUGGGAUGAUAGGUUGGGCGUGGUGGCUCAUGCCUGUAAUCACAGCACUUUGGGAGGCCAAGGCAGGUGGAUCACCUAUGGUCAGGAGUUCAAGACCAAAAAUACAAAAAUUAGCCAGGUACGAUAGUGGGUGCCUGUAAUCCCAGCUACUCAGGAGGCUGAGGCGGGAGAACUGCUUGAAUCUGGAAGGCAGGGGUUGCAGUGAGCCGAGAUCGCGCCACUGCACUCCAGCCUGGGUGACAGAGGAGACUCUGUCUCAAAAAAAUAAAUAAAUAAAAUGGGAUGAUCAUUGUGCUUGAUACAGCCAUAAGGAUUAGACAAGAAAUAAAGCAGCUUUUUUUUUUUUUUUUUUUUUUGAGACAGGGUCGCAUUGUCCACUGUUGCCCAGGCUGGGGUGUGGAGUGCAGUGGCGAACUCUGCUCACUGCAACCUUUGCCUCAGCAUUCUGAGUUGCUGGGACUAUAGGCGAGUGCCAACACACCUGGCUAAGGUUUUUUGUUUUUUGUAGAGAUGGGGGUCUUACUAUGUUGCCCAGGCUGGUCUCGAACUCCUGGUGUGAAGCAAUCCUCCUACCUCAGCCUCCCAAAGUGCUGGGAUUACAGGCAUGAGCCACUGCACCCAGCCAGAAAUCAUUAUCCUAUGAUUCUCAGGAGAACAGUUGUAUUUCCAAGAUCUUCCUUGGCUCCUAUUGUUACCCCUGUAAAGCUUGCAAUAAUUAUGAUCAUUUACAUGUUUUUUAAAAACUCUUUAAUCAAGAUAAUCAACAAACGAAGGGGAGACAUAUUGAUUUUCUAAGACAUAAUGAGCAGGGAAUCUUCCUGCCCUCCUUGGGGUAAGGCCUAAAGUUACAUGUGAACACUCUGGUUUUCUCUAUACCUGUUGAGAACAUGUGUGAGACAUGAUGCAGCUCAUCAAGUAAUUAUUGAAUACUUGGUGUGUGUAGCUUCCUGUUCUAGGCACUGGAGAUUCAAAGAUGACUCACGAUGUGUUUCCUGCCCUUGGACUCAAAAUUUAACUAGUAAAACUGGUUAAAACAAACACACAAAAAAUUAAUGCAAUAACUGUUAUAGUGGAAAGAAAUGAGCUCACAGCUAAAGGAGUAAAUCACUCCAGGAGUAUCUCAUUUCAGCUGGGUCUAAAGGAUUAGCAAAGCAUUAACAAGUGACACGAAGACAUGUAAGGUGAAGAGCCAUGAUCAAAGGCAUAAAAGUCUACAAGAGUAUUUGGGGGACAGCGAGUCAUCUUACACCAUUGGAUGAGGGUGUAGAGUAGUGAUGCUAAACCUUUAAAGACAUUUGGAAAGCUUUCAUUGUCUGCCAACAUCAACUGCCAAGCCUAACCACUUCUAACAUUUAAAUUUUUUUUUUCCCCAAGAUGGAGUCUUGCUCUGUUGCCCAGCCUGGAGUGCAGUGGUGCAAUCUUGGCUCAUUGCAACCUCUGCCUCCCAGGUUUAAGCAAUUCUCCUGCCUGAACCUCCCAAAUUGCUGGGAUUACAGACACGCACCACCAUGCCCAGCUAAUUUUUGUAUUUUUAGUAGAGAUGGGUUUCACCAUGUUGGCCAGGCUGGUCUCAAUCUCCUGACCUCACGAUCUGCCUGCCUCGGCCUCCCAAAGUGCUGGGAUUACAGGCAUGAGCCACCAAGCCCGGCCUAUUCUAACAUUUUAAAGACUCAUCCUUCCAUAUCAUCUCCUGCCUAGACUGUAGGAGUUUUUUUCCUUAUUAAUGUCUGCUUUCUUCAGACCCCUGUGAAAGCCUUAUUUAUUUAUUUAUUUAUUUAUUUAUUUAUUUAUUUAUUUAUUUAUUUUGAGACGGAGUUUUGCUCUUGUUGCCCAGGCUGGAGUACAAUGGCAUGAUUUUGGCUCACCACAACCUCCACCUCCCGGGUUCAAGCAAUUCUCCCGCCUCAGCCUCCCAAGUAGCUGGGAUUACAGGCAUGCGCCACCAUGCCCGGCUAAUUUUGUAUUUUUAGUAGAGACGGGGUUUCUCCAUGUUAGUCAGGCUGAUCUGGAAUUCCCAACCUCAUGUGAUCUGCCCACCUCAGCCUCCCAAAGAGCUGGGAUUACAGUCGUGAGCCACCACGCCGGCCUAUUUAUUUAUUUAUUUAUUUUGAGGUGGAGUCUCGCUGUGUCGCUCAGGCUGGAGUGCAGUGGCGAGAUCUCGACUCACUGCAGCUUCCGCCUCCCAGAUUCAAGCAAUUCUCCUGCCUCAGCCUCCUGAGUAGCUGGGACUACAGGUAUGUGCCACCAUGCCCAGCUAAUGUUUUUGUAUUUUUAGUAGAGAUGGGGUUUCACCCUGUUAGCCAGGAUGGUCUCGAUCUCCUGACCUUGUGAUCUGCCCGCCUCAGCCUCCCAAAGUGCUGGGGUUACCCCGGCCAGCCAUAUUUAUUUUUUACCUCUCAGCUCAAAUGACUGCUCUUAAAGGUAUAAAGGACUGUUGCUAAACCUAUAUCCAAUGUUUUAGAAGUUGAUUUUGUUUUCUGUGCUGUUACUUACUUUUCCAAACAUGCAUGGAUCACCCUUUAUAAUCCAUCUCUAUAUUUUUCAUUUUGCAAAACACCUUCAUGUCUGCCUUUUCAAGUGAUGCUCACAGCUCUAUUUGAUCAGCCAGGCAGUUUUGUCCUAAAUUCAGAAAUGAAGUGACUUGCUCAGGGUUGUCCGGCAACUUGUUGGCAAAAUCAGAAUGAGUACAGUAGUCUCCCCCUUGUUCACAGCUUCACUUUCUGCUAUUUUCUGCUAUUGGUUACACAUGGUCAACUGCAGUCUGAAAAUACUAAAUGGAAACUUCCAGAAAUCAUGUUUCGAAUUGCACACCAUUCUGAGUAGAGUGGUGAAAUCUCACAACAUCCUGCUGCAUACUGCCUGGAAUGUGACUCGUUCCAUUGUCCAGCAUACCCAUGCUGUAUAUACUACCCACCUAUUAGCCACUUAGUAGCCAUCUCAGUUAUCAGAUUGAUAACACAUACUAUAUAUAGGAUUCAGGACUAUCCUUGAUUUCAGACAUCCACCAGAGAGCUUGGAACAUAUCCCCCAUAAAAAAUGGGGGACUGUAGGCUUGGUGUGAUGGCAAUCACGGCCUAUAAUCCCAGCACUUUGGGAGGCUAAGGUGGGUGGAUCACGAGGUCAGGAGUUCGAGACCAGCCUGACCAACAUGGUGAAACCCCGUCUCUACUAAAAAUACAAAAAUUAGCUGGUUGUGGUGGUGUGUGCCUGUCAUCCCAUCUACUCAGCAGGCUGAGGCAGGGGAAUCACUUGAACCUGGGAGGUAGAGGUUGCAGUGAGCCAAGAUUGCACCACUGCACUCCAGCCUGGGCGACAGAGCGAGACUCUGUCUCAGGAAAAAAAAAAAAAAAAAAGAUGGGAUCUCACUCUGUCACCCAGGCUGAAGUGCAAUGGCGUAAUCAUAGCUCACUGCAGCCUUUAACUCCUGGGCUCAAGCAAUCCUCCUGAGUCGCUAGGACUACAGGCACAUGCCACCAUGUCUGGCUAAUUAAAAAAAAAAGAAUUAUUUAUAGAGACAGGGUCUCACUAUGUUGCCCAGGCUGGGAAGGGCUUUAAUUGUGGAAACUUCAGGCUCUCAGGCAGACAGCAGAGGUAUUUAGGUGAUGACUUAUUAAUCUACAAGUAUGUCCUGAAUAACUGCUUAGGACCCAGGUCUAUGUUCAAGGUUAGGUACUACCAGAGAUAGAUAGAGGAUGUCCCUAGCCCUCGAGUGCCUUCUAUUUCGUUUUAUAUUAGUGUGGAAAUAUCAGACUAAACCUUGAGUAUUAGAAGGUAAAAGUCAAGGAUGAAAAGGGAAGUGUAAAGGUAUAGGCUACAGGUGUGGAAGGAAUGGAGCGGAGCAGUCACUGGACAUCACAGUAGUCAUAUGAAACCGCAUGCUAAAGCGAGCAUGACUUUCAAGCCUCUGCUUCUAGCCUUUACCCACUCUGGCCCAGGCUACUCUUGCUUCUUUUUUUUUUUUUUUUUUGAGAUGGGGUCUCACUCUGUUGCCCAGGCUAUCAGGCAGUGGUGCAGUCACAGCUCACGCAGCCCUAACCUCCCAGGCUCAAGUUAUCCUCCUGCUUCAGCCUCCUCAGUAGCUGAUGCUACAGGUGCACACCACCGUGCCCAGCUAAUUUUUGUAUUUUUUGUAGAGAUGGGGUUUUGCCAUGUUGCCUAGGCUGGUCUCAAACUCCUGAGCUCAAGCAAUCCACCUGCUUCAGCCUCCCAAAGUGCUGGGAUUAUAAGCGUGAGCCACCAGGCCCAGACUCUUGCUUCUUCUAAUGUAACUGCAGGCUCCUCCCUGCUUCCGGCCUCCUCCCUCUCACAGCUGCCAGAGUGACCUUCCCAAAGCACACACGUGAUCACAAAACCCCCCUGCUUCAAGCCCACUGGUGGCUCCCCGGUACCCUGGGAUAAAUUCCAAACUCAGCCACUCCACAAGGCCUCCCAUGCUCACCAAGCCCCUGCUCACCCCCUCAGCCUCAUCUCUAACUGCCCCCUCUGGCCCCUGGGGAUUCAGCUUGCUUGCUUCCUCCACCAGUCUGACCUCAGUCCUCCCUCCCUCUGUUGUCCCCUCCUCAGGCUUCUGUUCCAUUCCUUAAUUGGGAUCCUGGUGGUGAAAGUGCAUUCUAAAGCGCUAUGCCCCAUGGGGGGGACUAGGGAGAGUGUUUGAGUUUCCAGGCUUCUUCCACACUGAACAUAUGGUACUUUCACACUCAAAGUGCUUUUCAGGUUGCUUUUGACAUAAGACAAGGCCAUCAGUUGGGGAGGUGUAUGUAAGGGAAACCAGAGCUAGAGACAGGUUUUAGAGGUAUUCAUCAGAAGAUAUUUCUGGACCACUUACUGUGUAUCUGGCCUUGGGUGCUGGGCAUAGCAAAGGCAGAUGCAGCCUGAACAAAUAGAGAAUUGGCUGGCCCUACGCCAGAUUUGCUGAAUUGGAAUCUCCAGGGAAGUUCUCAGGUGAAUCUUAGAACUGGGUAAGUUGGAAAGCCCUAACCUGAUUUCAUUUGUAAGACAUAUCCAGGAUAGGCAAAUCUGUAGAGACAGAAAGUAGAUUAGUGGUUGCCUGGGGGUAGGGUGGAGAAUAUGGAAGCGCAGGGAUGACAGCUAAGGGGUGCAGGGUUUCUUUUUGGGUUGAUGAAAAUGUUCUAAAAUUGUGGUGAUGGCUGUGCAACUCUGAAUAUACUAAAAGCCAUUGAAUUGUACACUUUAAGUAUUUAUUUAUUUUUUUGAGAUGGAGUCUCACUCUUCACCUAGGUUGGAGUGCAGUGGCAUGAUCUAACUCACCGCAACCUCCACCUCCCGGGUUCAAGAGAUUCUUCUGCCUCAGCCUCCCAAGUAGCUGGGAUUAGAAGCAUCCACUACCAUGCCCAGCUAAUUUUUGUAUUUUUUAAGUAGAGACAACAUGGGGUUUCACCAUGUUGGCCAGGCUGGUCUGGAACUCCUGACCUCAGGUAGUCCACCUGCCUUGGCCUCCAAAAGUGCUGGGAUUAUAGGCAUGAGCCACUGCGCCUGGCCAAAUUGUACACUUUAAAUGGUUGAAUUGCAUGGUAGGUGCGCUAAAUCUCAAAAAGAGCUGUUUAAAAAAAAUAAAAAGGCUGGGUGUGAUGCCUCAUACCUGUGAUCCCAGCACUUUAGAAGGCCAAGGUGGGAGGAUCACUUGAGGCCAGCCUGGGCGACAUAGUGAGACCACCUCUUUAGCAGGGCAUAGUGGUGUGUGCCUAUAGUCCCAGCUACUUGGUAGGCUGAGGUAGGAGGAUCCCUUGAGCCCAGGAGUUCAAGGUUACGGUGAGCUAUGAUCAUACCACUGCACUCCAGCCAGGACAACAGAGCAAGACCCUGUCCCAAAAACAAAACAAAACACUUGGACCAAGUUCUAGAGGGAAGGCACCCACCUCAGACCUGGGUGGUUACCCAGUAAAAUUGUCAGCAUAUAUUAUGAAUGUAUGUUCCAGAGGGUACAAAGUAAAUAAGCAAUUGCAGGCCAGGUGCGGUGGCUCACGCCUGUCAUCCCGCACUUUGGGCGGCCAGGGUGGGUGGAUCACCUGAGGUAAGGAGUUUGAGACCAGCCUGACCAACAUGGAGAAACGCCGUCUCUACUAAAAAUACAAAAUUAGCCGGGUGUGGUGGCACAUGCCUGUAAUCCCAGCUACUCGGGAGGCUGAGGCAGGACAAUCGCUUGAACCCAGGAGGCAGAGGUUGUGGUGAGCUGAGAUCACGCCAUUGCACUCCAGCCUGGGCAACAAGAGUGAAACUCUAUCUCAAAAAAUAAAUAAAUAAAUAAAAUAAGCAAUUGCAAUGAAGUGUGAUUAGUCUUAUAGAAGGGAAAGCGCAGGCUCCUGUGACAAGAGCAGGUGGGCAUGCAGCUUGCUAAAGAAAUAUAUGGGCCAGGUGCCGUGGCUCACACCUGUAAUCCCAGCAGUUUGGGAGGCUGAGGCGGGUGGGUCACUUGGGGUUAGGAGUUAGAGACCAGCCUGGCCAACAAGGUGAAACCUCGUCUCUACUAAAAAUACAAAAAUUAGCUGGUUGUGGUGGCGGGCAUCUGUAAUCCCAGCAACUCCAGAGGCUGAGGCACAAGAAUUGCUUGAACCCGGGAGGCAGAAGUUACAGUGAGCCGAGAUUGCGCCACUGCACUCAGCCUGGGCAGCAGCGCAAGACUCCAUAUCAAAAAAAUAUAUAUUUAGGGCAUUUAAUUGGGAGGAUUCUGAUGGCUGGGAUGUGGGUACAGAGGAAAGAGUAAGGAUGAGGCUCUGUUAUAUGGCUUGGGUACCUGGGAAAUUGGUAACCCCUAGAGCUGUUGGAGGAGAAACAAGUUUUGAGAAGAUGUUGAGUCUGAUUUUGAGCAUGUUGAGUUUGAAAUGCCCCAGAUGUUCAAAAGGAAGUGUCCAGUGAGCAGCUGGAUGUGGGGGUCUGGAAGCAAGGUAAGAACCAUGUGAAUGAUUGGCAUGCAGCCUCAGCAUGUGGAUGGAAGCCAGCAGAAUGGGGAGGUCAUCUAGGGGUAUGUUUUGAGAGAGAGGAAAGGGCCUAGAAUGGAACCCUGUGGGGCGAUUUUUAUUUUUUAAGUAGAGACAACAUGGGGUUUCACCAUGUUAAGACAUGCCUGAGGAGGAGGAGAAGGUUGUAAGGAAAUUAAGAGGAGACAGUUAGAAACCUAGGUGUUGCGUAUAGCAAUUCAGCUGCUCUCAGUCAGCAUUCACUGAGUGUCCAUAUGCCCUGGGUGUAUCUGGAGACAAGUGAGACUUGACCCUUGACAUUAAACUCAGAGUAGUGGCCAUCACCCAAUUGCCGUCAACCUUCUGAAACAAGAGACCCCUUUCUCGCAGGCCAAUGUCAGUCCUAUUUUCUAAAUGAUAGAUUGUGCUUCAUUAGCAGUUUAUAUGAGGCACUGGAGUCCUUCCCAAGCUUACCCUCCUGUAUCACCCAGGCCCAGAAAAGCCAGGCCUUGCAGCCAAGCCAAGAGCCUUCUGUCCAUGGGAGAUGGAUGGCCUGAAAGGGACACUCCAGGAUUGUCUGGGGUGGGGAGGGGGGUAUGGAGGGAAAGGAGGGUCAUGUCAUAUGUCUGGGGUUCAGCAAAUUGUACCCACAUACCAGGCACAGAAACAUACAAGGAAGGCACCCCCGCUCUGUGGGCGAGACAAAGCAGCAAUCCUCUUCCCACAUGCCAACCCAUCUUUUUCUUUGCCUUCACAAACGUGCCUUUUUUCUUUCUUCUUUUUUUGGUCCUCUGCAGCUUGGAAUACAUGAGGAAGAAGAGUGGGAGACAGGAGGAAAGGUAAGGUUGGGAGAGGGCAAGAGGAAAGGAGGAGAGUAGAGGGAACACUCCAUCGAUUGCCAGCACAAUAAACUGUAUCAUGGACUA